rnacentral:sRNA from 1 species
ACCUGCUGCGGAGCAAUGAAGUGGAUAUGGGUGUCCAGUCCGCCGGCGGUGACGAUCAGUCCUUCCGCCGCCAGCGCUUCGGUGGAGGCGCCCACGGUCAUGCCGGGGGUUACUCCGUCCAUGACGGAAGGGUUUCCGGCUUUGCCGAUUCCGGCGAUCUUGCCGUCCUUGAUUCCGAUAUCUGCUUUAUAAAUUCCGGUGUAGUCGACGAUCAGCGCGUUGGUGAUGACGAGGUCCAGAUCUCCGUCGGCGCUGCAGGUCUUUACCGACUGGCCCAUACCGUCGCGC